rnacentral:lncRNA from 1 species
UUCUUCACUCCAACAGUGAAGAAUGAAGAAACUUCUCGUUUCUCUCAUAGCAAAAUGCUCUCUCCCUUCAGAUAGUCUAAGAUCUGCAGUUGUUUCUAAGUUUUUUUGUAGAUCUACUUACCAACAACUACUGAAGAUGAAUGAAUUUAAAUACAAGUACAAUCAGCUAAGCUACACCUCCCUGAGGAAAUGAUGACAUCCCAGUGGUGUGCUGCUGUCUUGGAGUGUUUUGAAGCCCAGGUUGCUGGCCUGGUGGAAACGUUUCUGGUGGAGGUAGACAGUGCAAACUCUAUCAGUUCACAAGCAGUAUCAAAGACAGGGGAGUUUUACCAUAACAUUACAAAGAAUUUUAUUAUGCUUGUGGAGCUGAUACAACGAGCAUAUAAGCAAUGGACCCAGGUCUACAAGCACCUGCGCAACCAUGGUUACGAUUCCAAGCUGCAUCCAUGUACUGAAUGUGAGAUGUUUCUUACAAAUAUCAUGGGACAUCUAGACCCUCUUGGAUCACUGGCUUCAGCUCUAUCAUGA